GGAGAGGGGGUCUGUUGGGGCUGUGAAGGAGGCGCUUGCCAGACAGCAAGGUGAAAGAGGAGAAACAGAGAACGGGAACCCUAAAACUCAAGAGGCAGGGACCUCUGGAGCUUCCAGUGUCACCUAACCAGAAAUCUCACCACUGCCAACUUGAAAUUCAUUGCUCAGGUGAGAGCCUUUCCUUUCAAAUGGUGCCAGAGAGGAUCCUCCAUCACUGUGCCGCUCCCAGGCCCAAGUCACAUCUCAUCUUUCACCAGCACUGGUGCUGUCAGCCUCCAGUCCACCUGCGGCUGAUCCAGAACUGGCAGAGGACCACGCUGUUGGAGGCAGCCGCUCCAUGUGGCCUGAAGUUCCCUUAGGUCUCACAGUGGACUCUUUACACCUGGUGGCUGCUGCACCUCAAGGCAUCACCUCUGCCUUCUGGGAAGAGAGAAGCAGAAGAAUGAAGGGCAAAAAGUGUGUUGUUCCUUAUGGUCAGGAAAAUAAAAGGUUUUCCUGGAA